GUCAAGGUUGCACAAGCACCGGGUCUGGCUCGUCUCUCCUUUAGCCGGCCCGGGCAGGGGAAGGAGGCGGCGGGGGCGGCGUGACGGGCCGCCUACGACGGCGAGGCCGCCUGGUAUAGGGGUGAAGACUACCUAGGGCCAGCAGGGACGCGAGGAGACCGUCCGGCGGCGAGAAUGCAUGGUCGUGUGGGAGGGGGGACGUCGCCGGUGGCGUAGAACUAAGUGUCCAUGAGGUUAGUUGACGUCUAAACACCUAGGAGGAUGGUUAGUUGAUGAGCACGUUCCUAAGACUCGCGACCCGCCGCUCCGCUGCUCGAACUCGGAUGACUCGAGUCUCCUUAUUAGGUCUCCCCUGCGUGGUAACCGUGCGGUCUGUGACCUGGGACCUCCUAGUACCCCCCCGCCGCUCGACUCUACCAGUCGCCGUCCGGUUGUUACCGUCGUUGAUACUCCCCCUGUGUUACAGAGCACGUGAUCAAAGCACGUAAAAGUUGGACAGAUAGAGCUGAUGUUCAGCAGCACAUUCAGUUCGAAAGACUUUCACCCUCUAAACCUCCUUAUCUGGCUUUCUCCCGUACAUGUAGUAGUAAGCGACCGGGUAAGCAAACUCCUACUACCAUGAGCCAAAAUGUAGGAGACAGGUCAGUCCUCACUGCUGGUUUUGGAGGUACUGAUUCAGCUGGUACCGACCCUAAAGCUGAAGUCAGCUUAGACACCAUGAGAAUCCGACACCCCCGAGAAGUCACUUUCCUAGAAGGACUUGACUUCCACUUAUUUAUACGAAGUUUUUGUGUAACGAUCCUUACCAGAGAGAGAAUCUAGGAUAGAAACGGUUAAAUAGACGUCG
rnacentral:rRNA from 1 species